ACACACAUGGAGCCCCUGGGGAUAGGUCUCACCUUGCUGGCAGGCCCAGUUCCCAUGGGUAGAAACAAGAAACGGGGAGCUCAGCCCAAUGGCAUCCCGGCGCAGACUUCACAUUCCCCGGUGGCCCUCAAGACCGUCCAGGACCCUGGCAUAUGAACACUGGGUCAGCUGAGCCAGGACCUCCUCAGAGACUGGGAAGGCUAGAAGGCUGUCAGAGUUGACUGACUAUGGAAGGCUCGGCUCUCAUCGCAUCCCAACUAGACCCACAAUGUCCCUGCUCACUCAGCCCCAACACAAUAAAUGCCUGUG
rnacentral:lncRNA from 1 species